CUAGUACCCCCUCUGUUCGGAAAUACUUGUCCGAGGAAUGGAUGUAUCUAAAUGUAUUUUAGUUCUAAAUACAUCCAUUUGUAUCCAUUUCCACGACAAGUAUUUCCGGACGGAGGGAGUAGCUA
rfam:Triticum aestivum genome assembly, contig: Triticum_aestivum_CS42_TGACv1_scaffold_406248_5BL